GAGGGAGGGGGUGGGGAGGGAGGUGCAGAUUUGCACGGCUGGCCUCAGCGGGAGGCGCGGAAAUGCAAGCCGAGCCUGCUGGAGUGAAAGCCCCCGGGGCCUGGCACCCCCGAAAACGACCUCCCACCUUAAUCCCUGCCCCCAUCGCCCACGGCCCCCAUGGGCGACCCCUCUUCUUCCUCUUCCUUCAUUUACCCCACCUCGUUACCUACGUGGCUGACCCAAAUUCAAAGCAUUUUGUGUAUAUAUAAUUUUUUUUUUCUUUUCUGCUAUGUCUUUUUUUUGGGGGGUGGCGGGGGUGGGGGGAGAAAUCCUCUCUAGAGCCGUAAGCGGAUCGGCCACACGGAGGAAGCAUUUGGGGGCUCAGGAAGAAAUUAGCGCAGCUCCAUACCUGUACGGACUACAUAACUUUUAAACUACUGGACUCAAAGGAUCCACAUACACACAGGUACAGGAAAUACAGUCAGACCAAAGCCUUUUCAGACCCAAGCUGACCGGAAGACGUUGCCUUUCAUUCAUUCAUUCUGCCCGCGUCUGUGGAGUCCUUUACUAGGCGAGAAGCCCUAGAAGAGAAGUUGGACAUUUUUUAAAGGUCCCUGCGCUCUCCAAGAAGAGGAAAUAGAUGCUCAGGAGUGAACUACCGAGAGAAUCGGAUCUGGCGCCUCCUAACGCAGCUGGCAAACAUGCGAAGGAUCCUAAGUCACCUUAUUGCAAGGAGGAAACGGGCUUCAGGAGGCGACCAGAGGUGAAUUCAGGUGGCCCGACCCAGGAGUCCGAGCUCUGGGAGAAGGGCCAUAAAAGCAGCUGCGGAGAUGGGAGGUGCCGGCAGCAGGAACAGAGAGAGGCCCGGGGGCUGAAGCGCUUCCAGGAAGAGGCGCGGGCGCUGACGGCGCCUGGCCAGGGACUGUAGGCGGUACCGUCCGAUGAGACGAAUCACAUGACUUACGAUGACCACGCCCACCUCAGAUGGGCGGGGCGCAUGCAAAUUAGUCCGGACGGCGGCCAAUCGUGUCGCUCGCCCAGGGUCCGGGCCCGAGGGAUCCGGGACGCUUGCUUGAGAGCAGGCUCUUGUCUCUGCUGCCCCGGGCUUUUGCAAGCGCCACGGCUGGCCUGUAAGUUUGUGCUGUAGUCGCUUCUUCGAGCUACUUGCUUUUGGCGGCCGGCCGGCUGAGGCCGGACCCGCGCUGGGGCC
rnacentral:lncRNA from 1 species